rnacentral:hammerhead_ribozyme from 1 species
AUCCAGAUGACGAGUCCCAUACAGAACAAAAUGCGCAUCCUGGAU